rfam:Stegodyphus mimosarum contig93189, whole genome shotgun sequence.
GCCUUCGUAGUGUAGUGGUCAGCACGCUCAGCGCGUAAUUCGAGAGGUCCGUGGUUCGAGUCCCGGCGAGCGCA